UACGAGGGGGCGAGCGUUGUUCGGAAUUAUUGGCGUAAAGGGUGCGUAGGCGGCCUGACAAGUCUGAUGUGAAAUCCCUGGGCUCAACCCAGGGCCUGCAUCGGAAACUGUCGGGCUUGAGUAUGGGAGAGGUGAGUGGAAUUUCGGUGUAGCGGUGAAAUGCGUAGAUAUCGGAAGGAACACCUGUGGCGAAAGCGGCUCACUGGACCAUUACUGACGCUGAGGCACGAAAGCUAGGGAGCAACAGGAGUA
rnacentral:rRNA from 1 species